rnacentral:rRNA from 1 species
GUAUUUUGACUAUACAAAGGUAUUGAAAUAAGACUUUAAUUGAGUGCUAAGAGAAUGGAAUUUCAUAAAAUUUCUUUUUUAAUUUUAAAAAUUGAAAUUAAUUUUAUAUGUGAAGAAACAAUAAUAAAAAUUAAGGACAAGAAGACCCUAAGAAUUUUAAAAAUUUUAAUAAAAUACAGUAUUUUAUUAAAAUUUUUUAAUUGGGGCGAUUAUUAAAUAUUAAAAACUUUAAUUUUUUUAAAAAAGAACCAAUAAUAUUGGUUAUUUGAAAAAAUACUCUAGGGAUAACAGCGUAAUAAUUUUUGAUAGUUCUUAUAGACAAAAUAGUUUGCGACCUCGAUGUUGGAUUAGGAUUCUUUUUUAAUGAAGAAGUAAAAAAAGAAGU